rnacentral:pre_miRNA from 1 species
GAUAUACUCCCUCCGUCCGGAAAUACUUGUCCUAGAGAUCGUUGAAAAUGGAUGUAUCUAUAGCUAAAAUAAGUCCAGAUACAACCAUUUCUAGGACAAGUAUUUACGGAUGGAGGGAGUAUAUU